UAGUCAUCAAUCCAAUAUCCUAUCUAAGAAUUCUCAAUUUGAAAUGAUAAAGUAAUCUCUGAGCUUAGAAGUCUUAAGAUUCUUAAGGACACAUAUCAAGACCAGAUGAAAGAGGUUAGUACUAAUACUAGCCAAAAUAUGAAUUUAAAAGAGGAGGUUCGUACUGAGAGUAAUCGUAUAGAAGAACUUAAGCCCAAAAUUGGUAUUGAUGCUGAUUCCAAUUUGAGUAAGAAAGACAAAGG
rnacentral:lncRNA from 1 species